CCUACGGGAGGCAGCAGUGAGGAAUAUUGGUCAAUGGACGCAAGUCUGAACCAGCCAUGCCGCGUGCAGGAAGACGGCCCUAUGAGUUGUAAACUGCUUUUGUAUGGGGGUAAACGCAGAUACGCGUAUCUGUCUGAAAGUAUCGUACGAAUAAGGAUCGGCUAACUCCGUGCCAGCAGCCGCGGUAAUACGGAGGAUUCAAGCGUUAUCCGGAUUUAUUGGGUUUAAAGGGUGCGUAGGCGGUCGGAUAAGUUAGAGGUGAAAUUCUGAGGCUCAACUUCGGAAUUGCCGUUGAUACUGUUCGGCUAGAGAACAGUUGCGGUAGGCGGAAUGUAUGGUGUAGCGGUGAAAUGCUUAGAGAUCAUACAGAACACCGAUUGCGAAGGCAGCUUACCAAGCUACUUCUGACAUUGAGGCACGAAAGUGUGGGGAGCAAACAGGAUUAGAUACCCGAGUAGUC
rnacentral:rRNA from 1 species